CUACACACGUGCUACAAUGGGUAGUACAGAGAGUCGCAAAGCUGUGAGGUGGAGCUAAUCUCAGAAAACUAUUCUUAGUUCGGAUUGUACUCUGCAACUCGAGUACAUGAAGUUGGAAUCGCUAGUAAUCGCGAAUCAGCAAUGUCGCGGUGAAUACGUUCUCGGGUCUUGUACACACCGCCCGUCACACCACGAGAGUUGGUUGCACCUGAAGUAGCAGGCCUAACCGUAAGGAGGGAUGCUCCGAGGGUGUGAUUAGCGAUUGGGGUGAAGUCGUAACAAGGUAUCCGUACGGGAACGU
rnacentral:rRNA from 1 species